UACGGGGGGGGCGACGGUUAUUCGGAAUUAUUGGGCGUAAAGGGCGCGCAGGCGGUUGAAUAAGUCAGGUGUGAAAGCCCUUGGCUUAACCAAGGAAGUGCAUUUGAUACUAUUUGACUUGAGUAUGGGAGAGGGAAGUGGAAUUCCUGGUGUAGAGGUGAAAUUCGUAGAUAUCAGGAGGAACACCGGUGGCGAAAGCGACUUCCUGGACCAAUACUGACGCUGAGGCGCGAAGGCGUGGGGAGCAAACAGG
rnacentral:rRNA from 1 species